CUGGAGUAAGUUGCCAUUUCCUUCUCCAGUGCGUGAAAGUGAAGUCGCUCAGUCAUGUCCGACUCCUAGCGACCCCAUGGACUGCAGCGUACCAGGCUCCUCCGUCCAUGGGAUUUUCCAGGCAAGAGUACUGGAGUGGGGUGCCACUGCCUUCUCCCAGAAACUAUGCUAGAUUACUUUCUAUUUAGUUGGCAUGUGAAGGAAAUAAUACAUCUUUCUGUUUGCCCAAAGACACAUUCUUUUAUUCAUUCCUUUUUUCUGUAUUUUCAACAAGUAGCCCGAUAAUUCUCAUUCUGGUCUGCCUAGCUGCCAGUCCAAUCUUGUGCCCAUCCAGUACUUCAUGUGACACCCUUGCUGGUUGGCUUCUAGAGGGUAGUCACCUCCUAUCCUGUGUGCAUACAGCAACCACACUAACUGCCUGCUCACAGCUCUUCCCUCUUUCUGACUGGAAGCAGGGCUCAGGUUCCACAGAGGUGUCCAGACCCCUCUCCAAGGGACUCAGAGAAAACUGGCUCUGUCCCUGGCUCUAGGAGUCGAUAUUGACUGGCCGAAGCUCGACUUGGUAGUCUCAUUGUUCUGCCAAAGACAAGUUCAGUCCUAGGCACAGAUCUUAAUUCUGGCAAAUGAAAUACGAAGGGAAGUCAGGGAGCUCUUGGAAGUAUAUCCUAGUGGUAAAAAUAAACUUAUGGAAAGAAGAAGUACCUAGUCUUCUGGAUGUAGUCAUGUCUGCAUUGAUCUUAAACUCUAGUCGCCCCCCUGCAACUGUGAAGCGGAUUAGAAGGAGGAGGGCAGACCAGAAGGGUGGGAAAAAAGCAUGGAUCCUUGGGGAUGUGCCAGAGCAUGAGGUUAGCUCUGAAGCCAUCUCACUGUGGAAGUUCUUGUUUUAUGGGAUAAUAACAUUUCCUUAAUGAUUAAGCCAAGUUGGGGACUUCCCUGGUGGUCUAAUGGCUAAGACUCCAUGCUUCCCACGCAGGGGGCCUGGGUUCUAUCCCAGGUCAGGGAACUAGAUCACAAUUCAGAGUUUGCUUGCCAUAACUAAAGAUCCCAUGUGCUGCCACUAAGACCUGGCACAACCAAAUAAGUGAGUAAAUAGUUUUAAAAAUAGUCAUAAUUAAGCUAAGCUGCAUGUCGUCUGUUAUAUGUAGUUGAAAGUGUCCUAAAUAGUACACAUACCCUUGUUCUGCUUGGACACAGAUAUUUUCUCUAGGCCUCUUCACUUCUACUGCCUCGGUGAGUAUCCCAGCCCAGAAUAAGAAGCCUCUCCUUUGAGCUCCUUUAUCCACUCAGUAUGGCCUCUCCAUCUUUAUCUCUUCCUGUAAAUGUAAGACCCUGAUAUACCUUUUUGGUUCCCAAUGUCCAGCACACCACCUGAAAAACAGACACUUAAUUGCCAGUGGUACUUAGGAUGGAAAGAGAACAACUCUGGCCUUUACCGUCUGCAUGUUGGUUGGCACUCAUUUGCAUGGUCAGCAGUAUGUUUUAACGGAAAGAGGGUAGAUUUAGGGGUUGAUGGACUUGAGCCCCAGCUUCAUCACUUCCUAACUGUGGGUUCUCAUGCCACUUCCUUAACCUCUGUCAAUGCCUUUUCCCUCUUAUGUACAAUAUGGUUAACAAUACCUUACCGCAUUAUUUUGAGAAUGAAGUGGAGCAAGGAAUAUAAAAUGCCAAGGACAUACCUGACACUUGAUGACAUCAUGUACAAUAGCUGUGUCUAUGUGACUAGAUAGGCAACUUCUCCCAAAUUUGUGAUUGCUGAAGAGAACGCAUGGAAAGAGGACAGUCAGCAGUGGUUGGAGUGAAGAACUGGAUAUUUCACUAAUAUAUGCUCAGGUCAGGUGACAAAGAAGAGGAUGUCAAUACGAAAUACUUUCAAGACCAGGCUAAUUGAAACUGGAUGAGGACUCUGACACACAGUGUUUCUUCAGCUACUGUUCCAAGGCCACACAAGCUAGUAGAAGACCUGGAU
ensembl:lncRNA